rnacentral:rRNA from 1 species
CAGUAGCCGCGGUAAUACAGAGGGUGCGAGCGUUAAUCGGAUUUACUGGGCGUAAAGCGUGCGUAUGCGGCUUUUUAAGUCGGAUGUGAAAUCCCUGAGCUUAACUUAGGAAUUGCAUUCGAUACUGGGAAGCUAGAGUAUGGGAGAGGAUGGUAGAAUUCCAGGUGUAGCGGUGAAAUGCGUAGAGAUCUGGAGGAAUACCGAUGGCGAAGGCAGCCAUCUGGCCUAAUACUGACGCUGAGGUACGAAAGCAUGGGGAGCAAACAGGAUUAGAUACCCCAGUAGUCCCUGUCUCUUAUAC